rnacentral:lncRNA from 1 species
GUUUGGGCACUUCACUUUCCCUUUCUGGUGGGAAUUAGUGGCUUUGGAAUGAGGAGUGGGAAGCUCCAGUCCCCAAAAAAAGCACUUUGCUGCAAACAACACUGCCUUAAAGUGUGCUUUGGGUAAAUUCAGUAUAUUUAACACAUGCAGGUGAAAACCAACAGUUAUCCAGGAUUUUCAGAGCUCUUUUGUUUCAUUCCCAGACAACCCAUCCCGUGGUCUCCACAGUCCAGCAAACGGCCACCACCACCAGCUCUGCCACUGAGGAUCACUCCAAGCAGGUUUGGCUGCUUUCCACUUGUGUUUCCCCCUUUCUCCUGCCUUCUGACACCAUCCUGAUCACCAAUCCUUGGUCAUUAUUUAUGGAUUUCCCUAGAAAUCCACGUGGACAGAGCACAAAUCUCCCGAUGGAAGAACUUAUUACUACAACACCGAGACGAAGCAGUCGACGUGGGAGAAGCCAGAUGAUCUCAAAACACCUGCUGAGCAACUGUUGUCCAAGUGUCCCUGGAAAGAGUAUAAAUCAGAUUCUGGGAAGCCUUAUUAUUACAAUUCCCAAACCAAGGAAUCCCGCUGGGCCAAACCCAAAGAGCUGGAGGAUCUUGAAGCAAUGAUUAAAGCUGAAGAAAACAG